AGGGACACGCAGUUUUAUAUUUAGACAACCGGAGACGCGGCGAUAACGUUUCAAACUGUGUCCGGGACGGAGGAGACGGAAGCGCUGAUGGCUCUGCCCCGAUGUAUAAACACUCUCCCCGUGGGAAACUUUAAACCAGGUUAAAGGCGAAAGUCAAUAAUUCAACUUAUGGAUGCCUCUUGCUCUCCCACCCACUCUCCUCCUCUCUCUUUGGGAUCUAGUCAGAUCCAGUUUGGGCAAAACGGGCUUUUUGGUGCGAGAUAAUGGGCAGAUGUUGAGUUAAUGAGACGGAGAUGCGUGGACGCGAACUCAGACGCGCUCCACUCCGGCGACGGCAGGUGCGCAACGAGUGAGCGAGGGGCGCACGAGGCGAGACGGGGAGAAGACACAGUAAGGGGAGUACUGGGAGGGAGAGGAGAGAGGUAACUGGGAAGGAAGGGGAUCCAGCACACACUCACUCCGGGUCGGCGCUAUGGAAUCGGGGCAGAGCGCGCAGGUCGCCGACAUGGCCGGGGAGCACUCCGCCGGCGUGUGCGCCGCGGACCGGGACCGGGACCGGGACCGGGAGCGGGGCGAGGUGUCCAGCCCCAGCCCCCCGUUCAAACAGCGCUCCUUGCGGGUCGUGUACGUCCUGAACGACGGGCUGAAGUCGGUGAUGGCCAGCAGCCCGGAGUCCGGGGCGCUGCAGUGUCUGCAGAGAGCGUGCGACUCGGAGAGCGCCCUGCUCACCACCGUCACCUUCGGGACUUUGGACUUCGGAGAAACGUCCGUGUUGGACAGCUUCUACGACGCAGACAUCGCAGUCGUGGACAUGAGCGACGUGUUCCGCCAGCCCUCGCUGUUCUACCACCUGGGCGUGAGGGAGAGCUUCGACAUGGCCAACAACGUCAUCCUGUACCACGACACCGACCCCGACACGGCCCAGUCGCUGAAGGACAUGGUGGCUCAGAAGAACACAGCUGCCCGCCCUCCAGCCGUAGGUUUCCCCUGGGUGCAGUUGCCUCCAGAGUACAGAGGCUCUGGAUUGCGCAAUAAAGCCUCCAGCGGUAACUACUACUUCAUCCCCUACAUAGUGACUCCCAACCACGAGUACAUGUGCUGCGAGAGCGACGCCCAGCGCAGGGCCAGCGAGUACAUGCAGCCCAGCUGGGACAACCUGCUGGGGCCGCUGUGCGACCCCCUGAACGACCGCUUCACCAGCCUGCUGAAGGACAUCCACGUCACAUCCUGCGCCUCCUUCAAGGACACCCUGCUUAACGACAUCAGGAAGGCCAGAGAGAAGUACCAGGGGGAGGAGCUGGCCAAGGAGCUGUCUCGCAUCAAACUCCGGAUCGACAAUACGGAGGUGCUCACGCAGGACAUCGUCAUGAACCUGCUCUUUUCCUACAGAGACAUUCAGGACUACGACGCCAUGGUGAAGCUGGUCCAAACCCUGGAGAUGCUACCGACUUGUGAUCUGGCGACUCAGCCCAUGAUUCAGUUCCACUACGCCUUCGCUCUCAACAGGAGGAACAGUCCUGGGGACCGGGAGCAGGCCCUCGGGGUGAUGCUGCAGGUGCUGCAGUCCUGCGAACACCCAGCCCCGGACAUGUUCUGUCUGUGCGGCCGCAUAUACAAGGACAUCUUCCUGGACUCGGACUGCAAGGACACCAAGAACAGGGACAUGGCCAUCCAGUGGUACAGGAAGGGCUUUGAGCUGCAGCCCACUCUCUACUCUGGCAUCAACCUGGCUGUCCUGCUCAUAGUGGCUGGCCAGCAGUUCGAAAGCUCCAUGGAGCUGAGAAAAAUAGGUGUGAGGCUGAACAGCCUGUUGGGGCGUAAGGGCUCCCUGGAGAAAAUGAAUAACUACUGGGACGUGGGCCAGUUCUUCACCGUUAGCAUGCUGGCUAACGACAUCCCUAAAGCUACGCAGGCUGCAGAGAAACUCUUCAAGCUCAAACCUCCCAUCUGGUAUUUACGGUCGGUGGUUCAGAACCUGCAGCUGAUCCAGAGGUUUAAGAAGCAGACGGUGGAGCAUUCUCCUCAGAGGGAGAGACUCAACUUCUGGAUGGACAUCAUCGUGGAGGCCACGCAGCGCACCACCAACCGCCUGCGAUUCCCAGUUUUGAUUCUGGAGCCGACUAAGGUGUACCAGCCGUCAUACGUGUCGAUCAACAAUGAGGCAGAGGAAAAGAAUGUCUCCAUCUGGCACGUGUCUCCCGCUGAAACAAAGGGGAUCCAUGAGUGGAACUUCACUGCCAUGUCCAUCAAAGGUAUUAGUAUCAGUAAGUUUGACGAGCGCUGCUGCUUCCUCUACGUCCACGACAACUCUGACGACUUCCAGAUCUACUUCUCCACCGAGGAGCAGUGCGGUCGGUUCUGCUCCAUGGUGAAGGAGAUGAUAUCUGAUGGCACAGGAAACGCUGUGGAGCUGGAAGGCGAGGGAGACGGAGACACGCUGGAGUACGAGUAUGACACCAAUGAGACCGGGGACCGGGUGGUGCUGGGACGCGGCACCUAUGGAGUGGUGUACGCUGGGCGGGAUCUCAGCAACCAGGUGCGGAUCGCCAUCAAAGAGAUCCCUGAGCGAGACAGCAGGUACUCUCAGCCCCUUCACGAGGAGAUCGCUCUUCACAAGUACUUGAAGCACAGGAACAUCGUUCAGUACCUGGGCUCCGUUUCCGAGAACGGCUACAUCAAGAUCUUCAUGGAACAAGUGCCUGGAGGAAGCCUGUCUGCACUGCUGCGGUCCAAAUGGGGUCCUCUGAAGGAGGCCACCAUAAUCUUCUACACCAGACAGAUCCUGGAGGGCCUCCGGUACCUGCACGAAAACCAGAUUGUCCACCGAGACAUCAAGGGCGAUAACGUCCUGGUCAACACGUACAGCGGCGUCUUGAAGAUCUCAGACUUUGGUACCUCGAAGCGUUUGGCUGGAGUCAACCCCUGUACAGAAACAUUCACCGGCACUCUCCAGUACAUGGCACCAGAAAUCAUCGACAAGGGUCCUCGGGGGUACGGAGCCCCCGCUGACAUCUGGUCCCUGGGAUGUACCAUCAUUGAAAUGGCCACUGGCAAACCCCCCUUUCACGAGCUGGGUGAACCUCAGGCAGCCAUGUUCAAGGUGGGCAUGUUUAAGAUCCACCCAGAGAUCCCGGAGUCUCUGUCUCUGGAGGCCAAGUCGUUCAUCCUGCGAUGCUUCGAGCCGGACCCCCACAAGCGCGCCAUCGCCUCCGACCUGCUCAGAGACAUCUUCGUCCGGCAAAUCACCAAGGGCAAGAAGAGCAAGAUCGCCUUCAAGCCGUCAGACAACAUCCACAGCGUGUCUCUGCCGGUGCAGUUGCAGUGCGAGGCCACCGGGAGCAGCAGCAGCGAACACGGCUCCGUGAGCCCCGACUGCGACUCCAAGCACGACGUGUUCUUCCAGAAGAAGAAACACUCCGGCCCCGACGCCCUCCUCAAGCGCCCCAACUCCAACUACCUGAGCGUGCCAGAUGAGGGGCUGGCGUCAGAGGAUCGCAAUGCCCCCCCCUCCCCCGAGGACAGGGACAGCGGCCUGUUCCUCCUGAAGAAAGACAGCGAGAGACGGGCCAUUCUGUACAAGGUGCUCAACGAGGACCAGGAGAAGGUCAUCUCCAAUCUGAUGGAGAACCACAUCCAGGGCAGCGAGGAACUCCAGCUCUCUGUCGAACACAUCAAGCAGAUCAUCUGCAUCCUCCGAGACUUCAUCCAUUCCCCCGAGCGCCGCGUCAUGGCGGCCACCAUCUCCAAACUAAAGCUGGACCUGGACUUUGACUCCACCUCCAUCAACCAGAUACAGCUGGUGCUCUUUGGCUUCCAGGACUCGGUGAAUAAGGUGCUGAGGAAUCAUCACAUCAAACCCCACUGGAUGUUUGCUAUGGAUAACAUCAUCCGCAGAGCUGUGCAGGCUGCGAUCACCAUCCUCAUACCAGAGCUGCAGACCCAUUUUGGCCCAGCGUCAGAGUGUGAGGGGGCUGAGAAGGAAGAUGAGGUGGACGAGGAAGAGGCAGAGUUUGUUCCCGGUCUAACUUCCCACAACGACGACUCUGGGACGGCGGCCGAUCCCGCCCCCUCCGCGGCGGGCACGCUCAACUGCGCCCCCCCUCAGGAGCACCAGCGCUCCCACCACCAGCUGGGCGCUCAGCUGGGGCGCCUCAAGCAGGAGACCAACAGGAACUGGAACAUGGGGAGGAAUGUGCACCUACCAGUCCAGGCCCGCAGGCACAAACGUGAACGCAGCAGAGCAGGAGCUGCGUGACGCAACAGAGUGCAAGCACAGCACAACGCAGAAGUUACUUUGUCAGGUUAUUUUCACGAAAUAUAUGAUCGUCAAGAAAGUAAAAUGACGGGUGAGUUGUGUAAAAGUUCUAAAAUUUCUAAAAAAUAGCUAAAGUCUCAAGACGUCAACUGGAAACUGCAAAUGGAAUUCAGAUCUACUUCCUUCAGAACAAUCUUCAUCUGCCAAGGCCACAUUAAAUCACUGUCGUCACCCAGAUUAACAUCAGGCAGAACUGGAUGGAGACAAACAGCACGCUUUGGCCUCCACUCACAUGCCUGAUGGAGCAACGCAGCCAGGGCUUGAACCGCUCUGAGCUGCCACGUUAGCGCUGCUGACCCGUCUCGCGUCCCCUUUAGCUCUGUGGCAAUGGGACGACUUUCACUCCAGGCCCGAAGGUUUUAUUCAGAAUCGGAAUGAUGAGGCGCCGUCCACGGCCGCUGCACGCGCUCCACAGCUCUUUGACUCACUGACAGCGAUAAUGACUGUUGAUACAAGUCAUUGCUUGUUGCAUUAGCGUUUGGCAGUUUAUUCAGUUUGCGGGUUCACACAUCUGAUUCACAACAAAAGGUUCAGCAAUCUUGUGCAGCUCUCAGAAACGCUUCAUUUUGAUCUAAUGAAAUUAACACUUGUCAAGUGUCACAGUCGAGUCAGAAACGCUUGACUCCCGUCCGGGAGACGCCUCGGCACGUCCUGGUCGGUUUCACAAUACGUGAAAUCUGAGUGAUUCCAUGAGGUUCCUGUCAGUCUCAUCAGUUAGGGCUGAGUGUGUGGGCCAAGAUAGAUAACAUUUGCUUAGAACUUAGAAGCGUAGGCUUCUUAUUAUUGACUUGCCUUCACCUGAGGCACGUUUAUCCAUCGCUACCCGUCCUGGCUGCCAGUCCAGCUUGAUCAACCCGGCUGCACCAGUUUUAAAACCUCAGCCAGGAUGAUUCAUUGCUAACUAACAAUGGUGAUCUUAAAUGUAAUUGAUGGACAUAUACAGCGCUCCAAAUGUAUUCCUGCUGCAUCACUGCACCUUCAUGCUGAGCCGCUGAUGGUUCCAGCGUUUUACAAACACAGGACAUGCAGAUCCAGAGACAAACAGACGUGAGAAGGCAGAGGCUCAGACUCAGUGUCCUGUUAAAGCCAAUGCGGUGGUCUGGUUGGGCGAUGUUCUGACGUAGCAGAUGCUACUGCCGCUGCAGGCUGCUGGAGGAGCUGCUGCAGAAGGAGAAGGAGUACCAGCAGGUGCUGAAGGCCACGCUGCAGCAGAGGACGCACGACCUGGAGCUGGUCAGAGUCAGACACCGGCCACCAGACGCCUCACUUCCCUCCAUCUUCCACGUCCCGGCGG